AUGAAACCUCCUCUGCGCUCCUCGCCUCAGCCCCGCCGCCGCUACAGCGAGGCGGCCGCCGACCGCGAGGACCACCCCAACUUCAAGAUGGUGGAGGGCUUCUUCGACCGCGGCGCCAACACCGUGGAGGACAAGCUGGUGGAGGACCUGCGCACCCGCGAGAGCGAGGAGCAGAAGCGCAAUCGCGUGCGCGGCAUCUGCGCAUCAUCAAGCCCUGCAACCAUGUGCUGAGCGUCUCCUUCCCUAUCCGGCGCGACGACGGCUCCUGGGAGGUCGUGGAGGGCUACCGCGCCCAGCACAGCCAGCACCGCGCGCCCUGCAAGGGAGGGAUCCGCUACAGCACUGAUGUGAGUGUGGAUGAAGUGAAGGCACUGGCUUCAGUGAUGACUACAAGUGUGCAGUGGUUGAUUACCAUUUGGAGGGGCUAAAGCAGGUGUUAAGAGCAAUCCUAGGAGCUAUUCAGAUAGUGAAUUAGAAAAGAUCACAAGAAGGUUCACCAUGGAGCUAGCAAAGAAAGGUUUUAUUGGUCCUGGCAUUGAUGUGCCUGCCCCGGACAUGAGCACUGGCGAGCGGGAGAUGUCCUGGAUCGCGGACACUUAUGCCAGCACCAUAGGGCACUAUGAUAUUAACGCACACGCCUGCGUUACCGGAAAGCCGAUCAGUCAAGGGGGCAUCCACUGGCGAAUCUCUGCAACUGGCCAAGGUGUUUUUCAUGGAAUUGAGAAUUUCAUCAACGAAGCUUCCUACAUGAGCAUUUUAGGAAUGACACCUGGCUUUGGAGAUAAAACGUUUGUUGUUCAAGGCUUUGGCAAUGUAGGCCUGCACACUAUGAGAUAUUUACAUCGUUUUGGUGCUAAAUGUGUUGGUGUUGGGGAAUCUGAUGGGAGUAUUUAUAAUUCAGAUGGUAUUGACCCAAAAGAACUGGAAGAUUUCAAAUUGCAACAUGGAUCAAUUCUGGGAUUCCCUAAGGCAAGAAUAUAUGAAGGAAGCAUCUUGGAAGCUGACUGCGAUAUCCUGAUCCCAGCUGCCAGUGAGAAGCAGUUGACCAAAUCCAAUGCACCCAAAGUCAAAGCCAAGAUCAUUGCCGAAGGUGCCAAUGGACCCACCACUCCAGAGGCUGACAGGAUCUUCCUGGAGAGGAGCAUCAUGGUUAUUCCGGAUCUCUAUUUGAAUGCUGGAGGAGUGACGGUAUCUUACUUUGAGUGGCUGAAGAAUCUAAACCAUGUCAGCUAUGGCUGAUUGACCUUCAAAUAUGAAAGGGAUUCUAACUACCACUUGCUCAUAUCUGUUCAAGAAAGCUUAGAAAGAAAAUUUGGGAAGCAUGGUGGAACAAUUCCUAUCGUCCCAACAGCAGAGUUCCAGGACAGAAUAUCGGGCGCAUCGGAAAAAGACAUUGUGCACUCAGGCUUGGCCUACACAAUGGAGCACUCUGCCAGGCAAAUCAUGCACACAGCGAUGAAGUACAACCUGGGCUUGGACCUGAGGACGGUGGCCUAUGUCAAUGCCAUUGAGAAGGUCUUCAAAGUGUACAAUGAAGCUGGUGUGACCUUCACCUAGAUACUGGUGGCCCACUGCUUGGCCACCCCCUCCACCCGUACUUUCUGCAGCCCUCAGUUUACAUGUAACCGCAGCAAUCUUUCCCAUGACUCAGUAGAUAAUGGACCACUCUCAACCAGUCAGCCCAAAUCAGCCCUUUAAAAGGAAGCAAGAGAAGGCUAGGGGAUCUUGCACAAGCUGUGCCAGG